CGUGAGAUGUGGUUAGUCCGCAACGAGCGGCAACCCUUGUCCUGUGUUGCUACCCCGCAAGGGGAGGACUCUCAGGAGACUGCCGUGGAUAACACGGAGGAAGGUGGGGACGACGUCAAGUCAUCAUGGCCUUUAUGUCCAGGGCUACACACGUGAUACAAUGGUGCAGACAGAAGGUUGCAAGACCGUAAGGUGGAGCCAAUCCCCAAACUGCACCCUAGUUCAGAUUGAGGGCUGCAAUUCGCCCUCAUGAAGCUGGAAUCGCUAGUAAUCGCAGAUCAGCAGGCUGCGGUGAAUACGUUCCCGGGCCUU
rnacentral:rRNA from 1 species